UGGACCAAAGAUUAAGAAAUGUCAGCAACUUUCCUCCACUACACACAUGGAUUCUUCAGUUUAAAGAUUUUUUUAUUUUAUUAAAAACAUGCACAAGGAGCUCAAGUACAGCCUUAUACAAUGCGGGAUCCACCAGAAAACAUGCAGACAGACCACGAGACCAAGGGAAACUGAACAGAAGAUUAAAAUCUAUUGUGUGCACUUGCAGAGUUUGGACAAUAAAGAUCACUUGCCAGUUCUGCGGGAUGACCCUCAGCCCUGGUGCUAAAUUGAGAGGGGAGUUGCCAUGCCAACGCAGAGUGGGGAUCCCGGGUCCAAACUAGGCCACACAGCAGAAGUGGCAUUAAACAGUGUGUAAGUGUGACAGAUUCAGACCAGAACAAUCUGUUAAUCAAGUCAAUCAUUUGUCAGACCUCGUUUAACACACACACACACACUUUAAGAAAGACUCGGAUCACAAAUGAAAUAUGAAAACCUUUGUAGGAAUCUGUAUUUAAGAUUGAACUCUACAUACAUUCAUACUGUAGUGUUGAGGAAAAGAGAGUGGACCUGUGUGUGUGUGUGUGUGUGUGUCAUCCAGAGACACAUCAUGUAUAAUGGGCAAUAGAGGCAAUGAUUCAGGACAAAGAGACUAACUGAAGAGGAAAGAGAAAGUGGGUGGUGUUAGUCACUGUCUCUGUCCUCUCUGAUCUCACUGAGGUGUGUGUGUAUGGUGUUAGUCACGGUCUCUCUCCUCUCCAAUCUCACUGAGGUGUGUGUUUGUGUCACUGUCUCACUCCUCUCUGAUCUCACUGAGGUGUGUGUUUGUGUCACUGUCUCUCUCCUCUCUGAUCUCACUGAGAUGUGUGUUUGUGUCACUGUCUCUGUCCUCUCUGAUCUCACUGAGGUGUGUGUAUGGUGUUAGUCACGGUCUCUCUCCUCUCCGAUCUCACUGAGGUGUGUUUGUGUCACUGUCUCUCUCCUCUCUGAUCUCACUGAGGUGUGUGUAUGGUGUUAGUCACUGUCUCUGUCCUCUCUGAUCUCACUGAGGUGUGUGUUUGUGUCACUGUCUCUCUCCUCUCCGAUCUCACUGAGGUGUGUGUUUGUGUCACUGUCUCUCUCCUCUCUGAUCUCACUGAGGUGUGUGUGUGGUGUUAGUCACGGUCUCGCUCCUCUCUAAUCUCACUGAGGUGUGUGUUUGUGUCACUGUCUCUCUCCUCUCCGAUCUCACUGAGGUGUGUGUGUGGUGUUAGUCACGGUCUCGCUCCUCUCUAAUCUCACUGAGGUGUGUGUUUGUGUCACUGUCUCUCUCCUCUCCGAUCUCACUGAGGUGUGUGUUUUGUCACUGUCUCUCUCCUCUCUGAUCUCACUGAGGUGUGUGUUUGUGUCACUGUCUCUCUCCUCUCUGAUCUCACUGAGGUGUGUGUUUGUGUCACUG